AUUUUAGACAUUCUUUUGUACUAUUGGUCUUUGUUGUGUCUGUUCAGUGUUUUAAGCUUUCCAUGUAAAAAGGUGGUGCUCUGUUGUUCUUUUGUUUUAUUUUAUUGCUUUUUGAGAGAAAAGUCUUGAAUCAAAAUUGAAAAUGGAAUGAGGAAACCCAGUGAUACAGAUUUAGUUGAAAUUCAGCAUUAGCAAUAAGGUAGUUGAUUUAAAUUAUAAUUCGGUUUUCCAUAAUCAUCACAUAUUUUGAGGGGAAAAAAAGUAGAAUGAUUCACUAUGGUUUGUGUUGGCAAGGUUAUUCUUACACAGAGUGCUCACUGAAGUCAAUGGAGCUCUGAAAAGAUCAGACAGUUUCCUGACACAGUAACAUUGCAGUUUGAAUCUUAAUGUAUCACCUUUGGUGUAGUGGAUUUUUUGUUGACUUGUGAUUUUUUUUUGCAUUGUUUAAGAGUACAUCCCAAUUUUCUCUUGUAGACGUGCAGUAUAUGGAUUUGGCCAUUUUAGAGUCAUCUAAACUAAAAUAUUUAGCAUUCAUGGUGAUAGUUACUUUGGAAUAGAAAUGUUUACCUGUUAGCUUUAUUUUUUAAAAGGAAUUUUUCUUUUAUGUUACUGUUGAAAAUGUUACUUUAUGUGUCAUAAAGCUUUUCUUAUCUAUAGCAAUACUUCUCUUUGGUUUUAGAUAUCUCCUUAAAUAAGCAGUGAUCUGUACAGAAUGCUUCCAUCAUAAAAUGCUUUUAAAAACUCUUAAAAAACCAAAAUGCUUGAUGAAUACUAAAUUGGCAAAUGUUCCUUUGCCUAGCUGUGAGGCCACACUUUUAUGGAUAUAUUGAAUACAAGACAGCUUGUAUUGUUAGUAUAGUAUCCUAGAUCUGAAUACAGUUACCUGAAGCGUGGUCCUAAGGUAGGCGUUUUUGCUGGAGUUAGGCAGAGCCCCAUUGACUUCAUUGGGAUCAUUGUGUAACCGAGCAUCUAACUGUUUAGCUCUGGCCCUUUUGCCUCUUUGGAGUGGAAUCAUUCCAGCUGAUGGAGUGAACCUGACUUCACUUUCAACCUGGUAGCUUUGCCAUGAACAAUAUGUAUAGUGGUUGAACCAUGAACUGCAGCAAGUCCAGAAAUACCCCUUAUACAUCUCUAACUGCAAGAGUUCAAAAAAAUACUGUUAACUUCCUAGAGUUUGUUAACGAUGGUCCCAGAGUACUGUUUUUUGGCAUGUUUGCCACAUCGUGAUCUAGAUAGUGUGAGAUAAGCGCUGCUGUAAUAAUCAUCUGGGAUUUUCUUAGCAAACUCUGCCAGGUCUUCAAAAUUUCAGAAACCCUCUAAGUACUUUUCACUAAAUGCCAUAUUGACCUACAACUGACCUGCCUGUUCUUGUAGCCUUCUUACUAGGGGCAUAUCGCACAUUUGUCUUUGUAAAGCCUAGAUUUUUAGUUGCUUCUGUGCCUUGUUUUGGGGCCUUUUUGGUUUCGUAUUUUGAACUUGUUCUAAAACCACAAAGAGAAUAUGGCUGUAUCCACUUGCAACUGUGUAUAGGCUAAGGGGAUCAGAGUCCCCAGUUGGAAAAUUGCCCCUAAAUACAUUGACUAAGGUUUAUUCAGGAUCUUAGUUUUACAUUUUGUCAAAAAGAUGUUAAUACUGAUUCAGUACUUCCAGAGAGGGAAGAUUGUUGCCUAAUGAGUGAAUACACCUCCUGGUGUUUUUCUUCUGAUGAGAUCACUGCCUGACAUGAUAUGGCAACAGGCAGGUAAAGCUACAUUUUUCCUGUCUGUUGGUGGUAGACAAUGAGUGGAAGGAGAAAAAAUUAAAGUUCUGACAAAUCUUGUUCCGACUCUUAUUUGUAGCUGACUUAUUAGGUGUUUCUGAGAAACUGUAUUAAAAUGUCACUCUUCAAAAUCAUUCUAGACUCCACAGAAAUCUUGUUCCAACUCU